CUACGGGAAGCAGCAGUGGGGAAUAUUGCACAAUGGGGGAAACCCUGAUGCAGCCAUGCCGCGUGUAUGAAGAAGGCCUUCGGGUUGUAAAGUACUUUCAGUUGUGAGGAAGGCGUAUGCGUUAAUAGCGUAUGUGUUUGACGUUAGCAACAGAAGAAGCACCGGCUAACUCCGUGCCAGCAGCCGCGGUAAUACGGAGGGUGCGAGCGUUAAUCGGAAUUACUGGGCGUAAAGCGCAUGCAGGCGGCUUGUUAAGCCAGAUGUGAAAGCCCGGGGCUCAACCUCGGAAUAGCAUUUGGAACUGGCAGGCUAGAGUCUUGUAGAGGGGGGUAGAAUUUCAGGUGUAGCGGUGAAAUGCGUAGAGAUCUGAAGGAAUACCGGUGGCGAAGGCGGCCCCCUGGACAAAGACUGACGCUCAGAUGCGAAAGCGUGGGGAGCAAACAGGAUUAGAUACCCUGGUAGUCCACGCCGUAAACGAUGUCUACUUGGAGGUUGGGACCUUGAGUCCUGGCUUCGGAGCUAACGCGUAAGUGACCGCUGU
rnacentral:rRNA from 1 species